CAAGCGGUGGAGCAUGUGGUUUAAUUCGAUGACAACGACGAAGAACCUUACCUAGGCUUGACAUCCCGGGUAAUUUGUGGAACACAGAAGUGCCUUUCGGGGAACCCGGUGACAGGUGCUGCACGGCUGUCGUCAGCUCGUGUCGUGAGAUGUUGGGUUAAGUCCCGCAACGAGCGCAACCCUGUCUUUAAUUGCCAUCUAAUUAAGUUGGGCACUUUAAAGAGACUGCCGGUGUUAAACCGGAGGAAGGUGGGGAUGACGUCAAGUCCUCAUGGCCUUUAUGUCCAGGGCUACACACGUGCUACAAUGGGUGGUACAAAGAGCAGCGACCUCGCGAGUGGAAGCAAAUCUCAAAAAGCCAUCCUAAGUUCGGAUUGGAGUCUGCAACUCGACUCCAUGAAGUCGGAAUCGCUAGUAAUCGCGGAUCAGCACGCCGCGGUGAAUACGUUCCCGGGCCUU
rnacentral:rRNA from 1 species